UACGAAGGGGGCUAGCGUUGCUCGGAAUCACUGGGCGUAAAGGGUGCGUAGGCGGGUCUUUAAGUCAGGGGUGAAAUCCUGGAGCUCAACUCCAGAACUGCCUUUGAUACUGAAGAUCUUGAGUUCGGGAGAGGUGAGUGGAACUGCGAGUGUAGAGGUGAAAUUCGUAGAUAUUCGCAAGAACACCAGUGGCGAAGGCGGCUCACUGGCCCGAUACUGACGCUGAGGCACGAAAGCGAUGGGAGGCAA
rnacentral:rRNA from 1 species